rnacentral:rRNA from 1 species
GAUGAACGCUGGCGGCGUGCCUAAUACAUGCAAGUCGAGCGAACAGACGAGGAGCUUGCUCCUCUGACGUUAGCGGCGGACGGGUGAGUAACACGUGGAUAACCUACCUAUAAGACUGGGAUAACUUCAGGAAACCGGAGCUAAUACCGGAUAAUAUAUUGAACCGCAUGGUUCAAUAGUGAAAGACGGUUUUGCUGUCACUUAUAGAUGGAUCCGCGCCGCAUUAGCUAGUUGGUAAGGUAACGGCUUACCAAGGCAACGAUGCGUAGCCGACCUGAGAGGGUGAUCGGCCACACUGGAACUGAGACACGGUCCAGACUCCUACGGGAGGCAGCAGUAGGGAAUCUUCCGCAAUGGGCGAAAGCUUGACGGAGCAACGCCGCGUGAGUGAUGAAGGUCUUCGGAUCGUAAAACUCUGUUAUUAGGGAAGAACAAAUGUGUAAGUAACUAUGCACGUCUUGACGGUACCUAAUCAGAAAGCCACGGCUAACUACGUG